rnacentral:rRNA from 1 species
AUUGAACGCUGGCGGCAUGCCUUACACAUGCAAGUCGAACGGUAACAGGUCUUCGGAUGCUGACGAGUGGCGAACGGGUGAGUAAUACAUCGGAACGUGCCCGAUCGUGGGGGAUAACGGAGCGAAAGCUUUGCUAAUACCGCAUACGAUCUACGGAUGAAAGCAUGGGACCGCAAGGCCUUGCGCGGACGGAGCGGCCG